GUGAACCCGGGAGGCGGAGCUUGCAGUGAGCCGAGAGCCGAGAUUGCGCCACUGCACUCCAGCCUGGGUGACCGAGCGAGACUACGUCUCAAAAAAAAAAAAAAAAAAAAAAAAAAAAAGACAGAAAAGAAAGAAAAGAAAAAGAAAACAAAAUGGAGGCAGCAGGAAGAAGAGGAAUAAUGUGGUUGAGACAGGAAGCAAUCGGCCAAGCAAUUUCUUUCAAGAUAUGGAUAAAUAUGCAUGCUUGAAAGCCGAAGGUAAGGGGCCAGUGAACAGGAAGAGAACGCAGAGAAGAGGAAGGGUAUCUGCUUGAAGGUGAUGUCUGUGUGUGGGGCGGGGGAGAGGAGGAAGGGGGAAAGCUUAGCAACAAAGUAUCUCAUGUAUUAAGACAGCAUAAGUCUUAAUUCAGUAACAGUAGCAACUCCAUAUAUUGAGUACCAUUACCAUAUUAAAGCAGUGUCAAAUAUCUGUCUUAUGCAUAGUAACAGGUAGUGCUUAAAAGGUAAUUCACAUUUUUUAAAAGUCUGUUUUAUCGUCACAACAUAUGUAAUUCACAUUUGAUUUUUACUGGUGUAAGUAUAAAUCGCAAAUUAAGUAGUAACAUCAUUUAUUCACCUUUUGGACCUCAAAAUAUACCUCAAAUUCAUGGGACAUUCAUAGUUUACAAAAGCUUUCACAGAAUCCUCACAACUUUGUGAAUCUGCAGAGUCAGUUGAGUCUCCCAGGCUGGAGUGCAGUGGCACAUCUCAGCUCACUGCAACCUCCACCUCCGGGUUCAAGCAAUUCUCCCACACCAGCCUCCCAAGUAACUGGGAUUAUAAGCAUGUGCCACCAAGCCCAGCUAAUUUUUGUAUUUUUAGUAGAGACCAGGUUUCGCUAUAUUGGUCAGGCUGGUCUCAAAAUCCUGAUCUCAAAUAAUCCGCCUGCCUCAGCCUCCCAAAGUGCUGGGAUUACAGGCGUGAGCCACCGUGACCGGCCUAUAAUUUUCAUAUUAAGAUAAAGAAAUUGAGAGUCAUGAAGGUUAAAUGACAUGCGUGAGGUUACACAGCUAGUAAAUAGGAGAGCCAAUAUGCAAAUCCACUGCUUUGAAAUAUCCCCUCAUUCUUCCUCUCUCCAUUCCUCCAGCAAUAAACUCUGAUUUUCCCCACUUCAGCUAGCACCCCGAUAGAAAAGACGAAAACAGUAAGAUAUCAGCAAGACAUAAAAAUCAGGUUAUUCCCACUCGUCAGAAAAUAGAUUUUAGCCUGUAAAAAAACUUCAUUGAUUCAAGACUAAAAUGUAAAUCAUCUCCGAUUGCACUAUAUCCACAGGCUUAGCAAAGGGAUCAACCAGAAUCAAAUAGAGUGAAUCUGCAUUCAUGUAUUAAGUCUCUACCCUGUGUAAUAUAUCUAUCAACAUGUCAAGUUAUCUUUGAAAUUUUUAAAUAUAUAUUGUUAUAUUUUUAACACAUAUAUUAAAUUAUAUUUUUUUAAUUUGCCAAUACUUUAUUUUUGAAUUUUUGUAUCAUUAUUGUCGAGUAAAUUGGUAAAUAAUUUACUUUUCUGGUAGCUGUAUUUGGCCUUUUAAAUUAGCCAGGCGUGGUGGUUCAUGCCUGUAAUCCCAGCUACUUGGGAGGCUGAGGCAGGGAGAAUUGCUUGAAUGCAGGAGAUGGAGGUUGUUAAUUAAUUAAAUGCACACGAGUUUCUUCAUGUGAAUUAGGAAGCUCUUUUACCUCACUCUAUUAUUUGUAUUUAUUUGUGUAGCUUAGAAAUGUCCAUGCUUUGGCCUGCAGAAGAUCUUUUUUGGCAUUCUUCGAUUCUUAUUCUGUUGAUGAUUUGUAUAUUGGUGUCCUACAUUCAUGGCUCUGAACUUUUCACUUACGAUUUCCAUUAAUAGGUUUUCUUUGUCUUUGCUAUUCUUUUUUUUUUCUUUCCUUUUUUCUUUUUCAACUUUUAUUUUAGAUUCAGUGGGUACAUGUACAGGUUUGUUACCAGCGUAUAUUGGGUGAUACUGAGGUUUAGGGUACAAAGGAUCCCAUCACCCAGGUACUGAGCACAGUAACCAACAAUUGAGUUUUCAGUCCUUGGCCCCCUCACACCCUCCCCCGUCUAGUAGUCCCCAUGUCUACUGUUGCUUUUUUUUUUUUUUUUUUUUUUUGAGACAGGGUCGCCCUCUGUCACCCAUGCUGGAGUGCAGUGGCGUGAUCUUGGCUCACUGAAACCUUCGGCUCCCGGGUUCAAGCGAUUCUCCCACCUCAGCCUCCUGAGUAGCUGGGAUUACAGAUGUGUGGUACCACAGCCCGGCUAAUUUUUGUAUUUUUAGUAGAGACAGGGUUUCACCAUAUUGGUCAGGCUGGUCUUGAACUCCCGACCUCAGGUGAUCCACCUGCCUUGGCCCCCCAAAGUGCUGGGCUUACAGAUGUGAGCCACUGCACGCGGCCUUACUGUUGCCAUCUUUAUGUGAAUGAGUACCUGAUGUUUAGCCCCCGCUUAUAAGUGAGAAUGUGCAAUAUUUGAUUUUGUUCCUGAAUUAAUUCACUUAGGAUAAAAAUAAUUUGAAGAAAAAUAUGCACAUUCAAAUUUAACCAUGGCUCUGUAACAUUUUUAAUAAGCAAAUUUUCAAAUAAGUGAUAAUUUGUAGAGGAUUGUAAUCCUAAAUGCAUCUGUUGAACCUUAAAAAGCAGUUAGAUUACAUAAUUAAGUAGGGGGGUAGUUUUACCCAUAAAAUGCUUGUCUAUAAAUUAAAUCAUGAAUAUGGCUUUGAGGAGUAAGUAGGCAAUCUUACUCUGACUUAUCAGUUGCUUAUUUAUUGAUAGCAAGCUAUGGAGAAGCAUAAAUGUAUUCAAGGAUGCACAAAUCAGAGUUACAACUUGAGCACCAAAGUUCUCCCAAAAGACAGGUUGGUGAACAAAUUCCUUCCCCUUUAUUAACACUUAUAUCACUAUUUGCUAGGUACCUUAUACAUACUGUCUCAUUAAAUUUUUCACCAUACUCCUGGCUAAACAGAUGUAGAACCAAAGCCAUAUUUGAGAAAACUGAGCCUCAGAGAAGUUAAAUAACUUGGUCUAUUAAAACUUGCUUUACCCAAUAACAGAAUUUGAGAUUACCUCAAAACUUUCCACUGAACCAUUCUGCCCCCACCCAACGAACCUUACAAGGAUGAUUGUUUGCUUCAGAGCCAAGAAUGACCCUGUUGUAAGAAGAUACAGUUUGUUUUUGGGAUUCUAUUAUUUUAGUACAUUUUUGGAGUAAAUUUGAGCUUGAAAAAAGAAAAUAGGACUGGGUGCAAUGGCUUAUGCCUUUU
rnacentral:lncRNA from 10 species